CAGCGCCCCCUCCCCACCUCGCGCACUCGCGCGCCAGACAGCCCUGUGAUCCAAUGGCGUUGCGGCGCCCCGACUUCCGCAGCCAAUCAGAGGACGUUGGCCUCACCGCGCCCCUCCUCCGUGCUGAGGACCGGGGCGAGGGGCUGAGGCUCGACCGCGGCUGUCGCCCGAGGGCGACCGAGAGUCAUGCUCGCUGGUGGGGGCGUGUGAGGGCGGCUUUGCCUCCGCCUCUGCUCACUUCCUUUCUCAGGAAUGGUGGGCGCCGUCCCCACCCCUCACUGGCAGUGACGGUGGACAACAAAGGGGCUCGGGGUGGCGGCCAGACAAAGAGGGGGACUUGGAGGGUUGCAGCGCCGGGGGAAGUUGGGAACAAAGCUAGGGGGCUGGGAGCUACAGGGAGACGCACUACAAGAAACCAAAAGCAGAAAGUGCCUUUGUCUCCCUUGCUGCCCAAACUUGCGGAAAUCCGGGUGGUCCUGUCUCACCCGCCGCCCACCUGGGCCUGAUCGGCCACGCUGGGACGAUGCCCUCACCGCGCAACCAGCCGAGAGGGAAACAGGUCGGACCUGGGCAGCGCCCGAGGGAAAGCCUGGGUAGCCAGCGGCCAGCAUUUAAAGGCCCCGCCUCCUCAAAGGAAAGGCUGCUGACUCCUUUAAUUGAGACCUGACUCCGGUUUUAACCUGUCAGCCCUGGACCUAAGGAAAGCAGGCAAAAGUAAUGGUGAGAAGUCAGAAGAGGACUGCAAUCAAAGUGCUACUUCGGGAUGAUGGAAUUAAGCAUUUCAACAAAUCUUCCAGUAGCGAUGCUCACUUUAAAUAGAGGGGAAAGUGGGGCAGUGAACAAGAGGCUUUCGCCCGAUUCUCGGUACCAGGUCGGUGCUGGCGCCGACAAAUGGAGGUCCCACCGAGAUCGGAGAAGAAAGGGGGUACCACCUACGGGACGUCCCUGGAGCCCGGCCAGCAUAGGAGGAGAAGGGACGGAUUGGACGUAAGAUGGGUCAGGAAAGGCCUGGAUGAUUUGGGCUAGCCUGAGUAAAACUUGUCAUAAAAAAGGGACAAGAAUGCUACAGGAGUGUGCCAGCUGCCUGAGAGUCUGAGCCAUGCUGAUCCUGGGAGCAUGAAGAUUCAAUUCAGCUCUCGUGGUUCUGGUUCCUGGAGUCAUUCCUGUGCCCUUAGAGGAAGACGGAGGAUUCCCCCUCAUCUUUUGUCAUCACAGAAAUUCUGGCAUUGCUGCAGUCAUUGUGUCCUGUCCCAUCUCGGCCUGCCCUCCGACCCUCUGUGCACUGCUGCUUGCUGGAAGCUGCUGUGGACUGGGGAACUCUGCCCUGGUUCUGCAGAUCUCAGACAUGGUUCCAUUGCCUGCUGGUUGGUCCAGAGAAGAAUGACUGAUCCUGAACUGUCCUGGGAAAGACCUAGGCAUUUUCGCUGCUAUUGUGGCAGCCAUUACUGCUGCAGCCAUUGUGUCUGCAGUGUCUGGAGUUACCCUCCCCCAAUCUAUUGUUAGGCAAGCACAGUGGGUGAACUUUCUGGAGUAGUUGCUAACAAUUGGGAAUUCUAAAUUUUAUUAUAGGAGCGGCUUGACUACGGCCCUUGGUGGUAACAGCUGAGGAGAACCAGAUGAGGUGCCCACUACUUAUCAGGAGAGGCUCAACUUCCACAAUCUCUUAAAUUAACGCCAUCUGGCCUCUGCUCCUUCGCCCCUGGGCUCAAGUAAGAGGAAUGACAAGAUGAUCCAAUGUAGCUAUCCUCAGGGACGGGCAACUUCCUCUGACCCUUGACCAAUCUAAGGCAGGAACCUUGGGGGCGACAAGGUGAUCCUAUGACAGAUAAGGCUGGGGUUUGAGAGGUCGAUCCUAAGACAGAGGUGGCUACACCCCGUUUAAACGUACGGGCCGGUCAAAUGCUCCUCUGCCCAGUUUCUCCCCCAAUAAACACACGUAUAGCCCAGAACAGUGUGUUACAGCAUAAGUUCAUUUCUGGCCAUUGGGGUGCAGUCCUAACUGCAAGAGUGGCUCGCCAUGGCCGAGCUGGGCACUCUGUGAGGCAUGUCUGAUCUCUCUCAGACCACUACUUCCACCUAAUGGUCUUUUAUAUAUAAAUAACGGGGGAGAUGUAGUGCCAUAUUGGAUUUGGGCCUGACUGCUUUGCAACUGCAUGGCCACAGUUAAGAAGUCAUGGGAUUGUUGGACAGAGGCCUCUCCCAUGUAUUUACGGCACAGGAAGAAAAGACCAAGUAGUAAACACCCGAUAUCUCCACUGCAUGACCUCUGCUGAGCCCGGCUGAUGCACGUGGAACUGACACACCUGGACCACACCUGGGUGGUGGUCAAUUUACUUCUGCCUUUUACUUCCUCAGCCUUUAUCCUUGAGAUUUAGG
rnacentral:lncRNA from 1 species